rnacentral:rRNA from 1 species
ACGUAGGGGGCAAGCGUUGUCCGGAAUGAUUGGGCGUAAAGGGCGCGUAGGCGGCCUGGUAAGUCUGGAGUGAAAGUCCUGCUUUUAAGGUGGGAAUUGCUUUGGAUACUGUCGGGCUUGAGUGCAGGAGAGGUAAGUGGAAUUCCCGGUGUAGGAGUGAAAGGACUGUAGCUGGGGCGGAGCCGCAGAGGCGAAGGCAACAAACUGGAUUAUACCCGCGGCUGAGGCACCUAACUGAGUAAAGCAAGGAG